ACCGAGCUGGGCGCGGGCCCCUUCCCGCACGGAGCUGGGCACGGGCCCUUCCUGCACGGAGCCCGCCGUCGCUGCAACACCAGCUCGAACUUUGCGUGGUGAUCCAGAUGCAUCCAGAUUCCAAAGACUCUGCUCCGGCAGAGUUACAAGAACAAAGCACCUGUUCCCCUAGCAGAUUUCUCAGUUCGUACUUGAAGUUGCUGUCACCUUUGGUUGCAAGUAUUUAAGAACUGCUGCACACUUCAGAUCUGCCCAGUCUUCUGUCUCAACAAUGGCUAGAGACAAAUGCAUUGGAAAGAGUAACAGAAGACUAUGUACAGGGACAUGUUUUUCCUUGUAGUCUCCUGAACCCCCAGCCAUUUUCAGAAUUGGGCAUUUCCUGGAACCUCCCAGGCUAACAUAAGGAAGAGGCUGUGGAAGAGAACAUCACCCUUUCUGGAAAAGAGCCUGGAAACACUUCCUACAGAUGGCAGCCUAGUUUGUUCCAAACACUCUGUUUGUUCUUCAAAGCAUCUGAGAGCAAGACGACGUGCUGGAGCUUUAUCUGGGACUUGGGUGACCUCACGUAUGGGAGGUAACUCUUUGCACCUACUCAGUCUGAAAGUUUCAGAACAGAGUUCUGGAAAAUGAUGAUGACAUUGGUUUCCCAAGAUAUAACUGAAGUAAAUUACUCAAUUUAGUGUAAUUUGGACCCUGAUUCUACCUUUGUAUUUAAUGGCAGUUCCAAUUAUUAUCUGCAUUUGGAUACCAAGCCUGGAAGACUUGCUGGUUACAGGAGGAGAUGGGAGAUCCAUCACACUUAAAAGUGGUGACCAACUCACCAAGGCCAGCUGACAGGACUGCUCUAAGGGAAGGCAGCACUGCAGCACGAAAUGGAUCUGCUGGGUUUGCAUAUUUCCUGAGCACACUUCAUCCUAAAAGCAGCCUGAGCUGCAAGUAGAACAGCUCUCCCCUCCAAGACCACAGGAGGAUGAGAGUGAAGAAAAAAAAAAGCAUUUUCUUAUUUUAGAUAGAAUUCUUAUUACCAUGGCACCUAAAAGAUCCCUUCAUGAAUAGAACCCACUCUGAUGAGUGCCUCAAAAAAUGUCCCCUAAAUCACAUCCAAGUCCUUAGGAGUCAAAGUCAUUAUACACAUCCAGAGUAUUAUCAUUGUUUUUAUUAUUGCUGUUGUUGUUGUUGUUAAUACUGGUAUAAUUCGACUGGAUUCCAAGGUACGUAGUAGCUACUAAGUGGCACUAACAGAAUCGUAAAUCCAGAUUUUAACACAAGGUGCUCUCUAUUAUUUUCCUCUUCUCUCUGCUCUGAUCCACUUCUAAUCUAAAUUUCCUCUUUCAUUUGAGGAAAAAAAAAAAAUCAGGCUGGAUUUAGAUCAGAUAUAAGGAAUAAUUUUUUGCAGUGAGAGUGAUGAGGCAUUGGCACUGCCCCCAGAGAGGUGGUGGAUUCUUAAUCCCUGGGAGCAUUUAAGGUAGAUUGGGGCUCUGAGAAACCUGAUCUAGUCGAUGUCCCUGCUCAUUGCAAAGCAAUUGGACUAAAUGACCUUUAAAAAUCCCUUCCAAAUCAAACUAUUCUAAGAUUUUUUCAUCCCAGUUGAGCUGAAAAGCCACAUAACCUCUGCCAUCCUUAUGAUUUUCAUAUUUACUGAAAACUAUGCAAAAGGAAUCAGUAGAAUAGAAUCUCCCAAGUGGAGAAAAAAGAUUUGGCAUAUUUCAGUGUGAGCUUUCCUGAGCGUAUUCCUUUUCUGUUCCUGCAGCUAAGCAGAGGCAGAAGGUAAAAGAUGAAGACCCAGAAGUAAAUUCCAGCUAAUAAAAAAGAGACUUUUAGUUGACUUAGGAAGUUUCUUUGCCAGUUGCCUCUAGCAAAAGAGAAUUAUUAUAUUCCCAGUGAAACAUUAUUAUCAGGUGGAUUCUUAACAGAAAGACUCCUCAAGCCCUGAAGGCAGACAGUCUAUAAAAUUUGAAAUCUUAGAACUACUGGCUAAGGCGAUAGCUAUUAUCUUCUUUUUUUAUUUUCUUUUUUUUUUUUUUUUUCCUUGAAGAGGAAAGGAGGAAAAUCUAGGUAAAACAGAUAUUUAAGACUUGUGUGUCUGACAUUUCUCAUUUCUCAUAACAACGGAUGCUCAUUUUCAUAUCUUCACAUUCAGACUCUUUUCCUAUGAUACCUCUGAUUUGAAAAAUAGAAAGAUUAACAGUUAUCCAUGCCCUGUUGCCCAGUCUAACUGUUUAAACAGAUGUCCUGAGCUUGUAUUUCCUUCAAAAAUUACUUUUACCCAUUAAUGAAAUGCUCUGAGAAACUACAUUACUAAGAUUUGCAGCAUGAGUUUUUUAAAUUUUUUGAACUGAUGCUGUCAUCAUGUUUCACAAAACCUUUUUAUUCUGUCUUUGAAGUUUGUGUUUGGAGAGCAUGUGAAAUGAGACCAAUCAGUCUAGGAAAAAAUUUUUUUCUUUAUCUUUGCCCAGUGUCAUGCAAGUUGGUAAGUGAUAAAUGAUCCUAGAAGACAUGUUUAACUACUUUAUUCAGAGAGCAACAUGGCUGUAUUACCAAUAUACUUACUUUUCUAAGUGCAUUGAUGUGAAAAAAGUGAGAAAAUUUUCUGAGGAAUCAUGCUCAGCACAGAAAAAAUUUAAGAACAGCAUUGUACUUUUUCCAAAUCUGAACUAAAAUAAAUACAUAAGACUUGGAAAUGUAACUUUGCUAGCAAAAUUUCAAAGUAAAUCAGAGGGUUUACAUUCAUUUCUCUAAAAUAUCUGGAAGAUUGUCAGGUAGAGAUUUCAAAUUCCAGCUACUUGCAUUGACCUAUCUAUAAGCUUUGUGAUAUAUUCUACUUAAAAGACUUCUUGAAACUGUGUAAAGAUCCUGUGCUAACCUAUCCCAUACAGAGUUAAAUACAAAGUGAAAUAAAGAAAUAUUUAAGUUCUUGUUAAUCACAAGUAAAAGGAAAGACAGAACAAAACCACUAAAGUCCUCUACCUCUAGUAUUGAUUCCGCAGUUUUGCUUACACAUUGGUUUAGUGUACGUGGUAAUACAGGAAUCUAUUUGUUAAGAAUAAUCUGGGUAUGAAAAAUAGAGCACCAUAAGUCUCACUGUUCUGUGGACAUCUCUGGGAAGAAUAUGAAAAUUUCCAUCCUCUGAUAAAAAAACAUACAGAAGCAACAUAUAUGGAUGCAAAUCUUCCCAAAGAUUAGUACAAUUUGUUUCAUAAUACAUUUGUGUAUAAUGUGAUUUUUGUUUUUCACUAGAGGAGAAGAUGGGAGGGACCAUAAUUCUGGCUACUGCUGCAGUUAAGACCUUUUCAUUUCCUGCUUCGCCUAUAGCCUAUACAUAGGGUUUGAGUUUACAGGAAAACAUGUACUAAAAAUGAUACAAAGCUUUUUUCUUUCACAUGAAGAUACUGAAGGUAUGCCUGUAAACACUAAGUUAACAUGCAAAGGUAGUUUUGUAUACUCUUGACAUCAAAUAUCUACAAAGUCUCCUGGGUAGCAAGGGUAGUAUUUUGUGUUUUACAGCAAUUGUACUCCUAAAGAUUCUAGAUUUUGAAAGCAGUCUGGACUGUGAGAUCCUAUAGUCUGUCCUACUGUCCUGCUCUUUAUCAAUAUAACACUUUACUUCAUUCUACUCUUUUUUUUUUUCCUUUAAUAAAUGAAAUAGCAUGAGUUCAGCUAUUAUUAAACAUCUUGAGUUUGCUAAGCUUUAUUUUUCAGACACUAUUUUUGAUCUGAAAUAUAGAGGACAGGGACUCAAAUAAUUCUCUAGGUAGUUUGUUCCUACAAUUAACCACCAUAGACUUAAAAUGUAGUAAUAUUUUUUUUCCUUGGUUUCAGCUUUUUGACAGUGGUUCUCUUAUGCCUUUCUCUUUGACAUGAUUGAGCCAUUUAGUGUGUCAUGGAAGACAUCACUAAUUCUUUAUGAUAACACACGGGCAAAGAUCAUUGAGUCUGCCACAGACAUUCUCUUCAGAAAUGUUUUACUGCUAUUUUCUAUUACAUGCUACCAAUUUUAUACCAUUUUUAAUGAAUAUGCAAAUUUUAUUUAUUAUUCCAGUACAAUUCCUUCUCAAUAUCACAUGAGGGAAAAUUAUUUUUCUAUUCCAAUUCACUACUCCUGAACAAAUCAACCCUUUAGCUGUUGUCACUUGUGUACUCGUAGUUCAUUUCUCUUUUCACUAGAUUUCAGGCACUGCCUUUCAGUUGACUGUCUGUUAAACAGGAUCCAAGAUUAUUAAAAGCUUAAAGGUGUAUCUUACUAGACCUUUUCAUACAGUGAACUCCCCAAAGGAGAUCAAAAGGCUUUUAAACUAAAAAAGUCAGGCUUUAAAAUUACAUAAACUAGUUUCCCAAAUUUUUUAGGCAGAGAAAACUGAAAUAAAGAGAAUAUAUAAACCAUUGUCUUGCUCUGCUGCUUUGCAGACUUGUCGUGUUAUCCAAUGUUUGUUUUACUCAAAUCACUGACCUUCCAAAUUGCAUCUAUCUUACAUCUCACUUAUCUGUGGUUGCAGGAAAUUUUUUUCAUCAUCUUGGUGACCUGGUAUCUGCUUUCUGUCUCUUACCAGUUUCUAGUGUUUCCUUGGAGCUUCAGUACCUCAACUCCAGGCAGUCUUCCUUGUGCCUCUUCAACCCUACAAGUUUCUUUCCUUGAUUGGGUUCUAGAAGCUUCACAAAGAAAGGAGAAAUGCCAGUUCUGUCUGCACCUACUCUUAGGAGAGGCACAUAAAAAACCUGGAAGCAGAGACGCAAUGUAACUGACUAUCACUUUUACCUUCAGUAACUAUAAUUUUUUCCUUGCUUGAUGGGUACUUUUAAAUUUGGCUGACUUAGAACCAUUAGUUUUGAUUAGAUCAAGUUUACUAAGCCAUCUACUUAGCUGUCUCUUAGGAGGCUGAACAAGUGGACAUUGCUUUCCAGAGUGAUGUGAGUAGCUCAGCUGAGCCAGAACACCAUUGCUCCAGUGAGAACUUGCUUCAAUAUUAAGCCUGAAAUAUAAUAACACCAGCACUAGGUUUUACAAGCUGGCUUAGAAAUUUGUGCAUAAACAGUUAUGCUUUAAGAUAAUACAGAGGUUUGUGUAAACAGCUGACAAAUGUGCCUAGUAUAUGUGUAAGACAUUGUUAUUUCUCUGUCCUGUUUUAUUAGGCUGUAUUUUUGGGGUUUUUGUUUUGUUUUGUUUUUUUCCUUAUUGUAAUAUGCUCUAAAUAAAUGCUGUGUCACUAAAAGGUAAACUACUUUAAAAUGUAAGUCAAUACCAUCAGGAAAAUAAGGAGAGGUUUCACCUUUGCAGCUAUAAUGCAUGACCUCUGUAAAUGCAGAAUGAGGAGACUCACUGACAGGCAGAGCACACUGUCGAUGCUAUGCAAUGCAAGAGCUUCAAUAAACAAACCAAGUCAUUCUCAAAACACCCAAACAAAAGAAAAUAAAAUAAUAACACUUUACUAGUAUAAUUCUUCAAUAAAAAUUGAACAGAAUUAGAAGCCAGCCAUAGACACACCCUAUGCUCUAAUUAACUUAGGAGCAUAAGAGAAUUAAUUUUUUUAAUGCAACAAACCCAUUUAUUACAAAACAAGUGACCAUUUACAUUGAUUAUUGUCCUAAUAAUCCAACAAUGUUUUCUAACUCUGUAAAACUUCAUCCUGAGAAUAUUCCAUUUUUAAAAACUGCUGCUUUGGGAAGAUUUGUUUGGAAGUUAAUUUUGUCAUUCACUACGCUGACCCAGUUAUGUUUUAAGAAGUCAGUAAGCAUUGAAACUCUGUUUAAGAAUUACAGGAAGUAUGUUAUUGUAUCAUAUUGACUGAAUGCCUGCUAUGCAAAACAGAAAGAAGAGGAUAAUUAAUUUAUAUUUGUAAUCCUUCCACCUUUAUGAAAAACAUGAAAGUUCUGCUCUACAGGUGAGUCACUCCAGAAGCUCUAAUUAGAUAAAUGCCACUUGUGGUUUAUUUCGAUUAGGAGACUAUAAGUUUGCAUAACUACAAGUUAAAUUUGCAUACAGGAUAAUCUUAAUAUUCCAGAAUUUGUAAGCAUGGUAAGAUUUAAGUAGCAUUUAUUCAAGCACUUCAAUUAACUACUUUUGAUUAUGGAUACAGAUGCUUUGUCAAAUCUUUUUUGCUAAAUCAGUUUGAGAUUUAAUGUCUUAAGUUAUAUUUACAUUAAGAACUUUUGUAGAGGAUCAGCUUCCACUUUUUAGUUUAUGCCCCAGUGGAUUAGUUAUUUUUCACUUGGAUCACAACAGUCCCAUGCAGUACCACAGUCUUGGAGCCGAGUGGCUGGAAAGGGGCUCACUGGGAAAGGACCUGGGAGUGCUGAUUGACAGCAGCUGAGCAUGAGCCAGCGUGUGCCCAGGUGCCCAGGAAGGCCAGUGGCAUCCUGGCCUAUAUCAGCAAUAGUGUGGCCAGCAGGAGCAGGCAGGGAUUGUCCCCCUGCACUCAGCACUGCUGAGGCCACAGCUCCAGUGCUGGGUCCAGUUCUGGGCCCCUCGCUGUGAGAAAGACACUGAGGGGCUGGAGCCAGUCCAGGGAAGGGCAGUGGACCUGGUGAAGGGUCUGAAGCCCAAGUGCUGUGAGGAGCAGCUGAGGGAGCUGGGGGUGUUUAGCCUGGAGAGGAGGAGGCUCAGGGAAGACAUUUUUUCUGACUUCAGCUGCCUGAAAGGAGGCUGGUCAGGUGGAGGUUGGUCUCUCCUCCCAAGUGAGAGGUGACAGGACAAGAGGAAAUGGACUCAAGUUGCACCAGAGAAGGUUUGGAUUAGAUAUUAGGAAGAAUUUCUUUACUGAAAUGGUGGUCAGGUAUUGUAAGAGGCUGCUGAAGGAAGAGGUUGAGCCCCAAUCCUUAAAGUGUUCAAAAGGCGUGUGGAUGCGGCGCUUGGAGAUAUGGUUUAGCAGUGAACACUAUGGUGCUGGGUUAACCAUUAGACUCAAGCAACUUAGCUGUCUUUUCUAAUCUUGAUUCUAUGAUUUCAUGUACGAAGAGCUGGUGUAGAACAUUUUUUUGUUUGUUUGUUGGUUUCUGUUGUGUUUUUCUUUUUAACAAUACGCAAAUGCUCCUUACUUGGAGAAGAGGAUAACCACUAGCUGUGCCAGGGAAAUGCCUAAUGCUACAAUAGUAAUGGAAAUUAAAUUAACAUCUGCAAUAUGAUAGCAGGAGCAGUACUGGAAAAACUCAGAUUUUUUUCAGCGUAGAUCUGUACUAAAUGUUUUAAUUACUGUGCAGAACAAAAAUUUUCUUUUGCUAAUUGUAGGUAGUGGAUACAGAUUGUCUGAAAAUGUGGGUUUUCAUCUUUUCCCAGUAAAGCCUGGCCUGUUGUAGUUCACCUCUCUCUAAAAAUGGUUAAUUCCUGAAAAGCUGACACAGAAUGGCAUUACUUGGCUGUAAUAUACUCAGUACUUAAAUGACUUUCAAACAGUGUAUAAGUUUUAUCAAAUUAAUUGAAUGGGAAAUUGGGUACAAAUUCAUUACAGCAUAGGCAGCUUGACCAUAUAAAGAAGCAGCCUGUAGCAGAAAAUGUCAUAUCUUUAAGGAGGAUUAAGUUACAAUGAGCAUGUUGUUAGAAUACCAUAACAGGAAAGAGAAGGUGCAACGAAAGCUUGUUCCCUGGAGUACAAGGGGCCUGAGUCCAGCUGAACAUGAACAUAAUGUACAUAGACAUAUGUUAAUGUUUAGUGGUGUGUCUAUGCUACCGUCCCUUCAGCAGUGUUCUAGACACCAUAUAGUACAUUCAUCUGUUCACUGCCUGCCAAAUAAAAAGACAAAUUAAUGAUGCUUUAAUCAAAAUGAUGCAUCUUAAUAAAAUUCUAUACAGAGCUUGUAGAGCUUUCAUUUGAGCCAUUUCAAAAAUGUAAAGUUUUUUACGCAGAUCUGUUGUGCUAAGAAUUCCAGCAACAAGGUAUUAAGAAUUAUUGUAUUCUGAAAAAAAGUAAAAAAAAUUAGUCUUUUCUCGUGCAGCAGCAAUGUUACAUAAUAUUGACAAUAUUCAUAAACUGUUUCCUGGAAUUGUCAAAGCCUGAUCAUAUUUCUCAUCAAUUCUGAAUUUAGUUACCUACAUUCAGUACUUCUAGAAACCCCACUAGAUAAUUUCCUGAAGGCAUUUAGACACAUGAGGAUGCAAGCAGACUAGCAUCUGCCAAAUUCCUUCUAGGUUCAAAGGGAUGACCUGAGGUGGAUAUAUGCCUAACACAGUUUUUAAAGUGUUUUCAGAGACUUAUCUUACUUCAGGUAUGCCAAACCACUGAAAAUUCAAUUAUUAACACAGAAAAUUCAAGGAUAUUUUUGAUACAGAAAUCUCUUUGCUAUUUAUCUCAUUUAGCUCAAUUUUCAUUAAAACACAAAUAUAAAUUAAAAAGUAUUUGGAGAUAGCCCAAUUUUAAAUAUCCCUAUUCAUGAUGAAUCAUCUCUUUCAGACACCUAACUUAUCUGUCUAACAACUUUAUCAGCUUGGCAGCAUAUCCUUUUGUUUUAGCUACUUGCAGUAGGUAUUACAGUAAAGAUUUUCCUUUAACUGCUAUACAACAGUGUGUUAACAAAGCAAGUAGCUGAGGACUCAGUUUUUCAGAAUGAUUUUGACACUGAAAAACUGGAAGUUGGCCUGCCUCUUUCUUUGCACAAGCACCUGAGGGAAGUUGAUAGGCAAUGCUAGGCAUGGCAAUUAGCUUACCCAGCAUGAAACUCAAUAGAAGCAGGUGCUGAAGAAAUAUCUGACUAAGAGGAUUUCUCCCUUCUCCUUCCUUCUUACUCCCUGCCACAGCAGCUCAAAGGUGGCACCUAGCCAGGAGUAGAAAGCCUGUCCCAUUUUGUUUACCUCUCUUACAAGAUGUUAUCACUGUUGCUUUUCAAAGCACUCAGCUAAUAAAGUUGUAGAAAGAAGUAAACUUAUGUGCUGGCCUGUGUUUCACCAUCUGUCCUAUGCUAUCAGCUAAGACAGCUGUGGAAGAGUCACUUCAAAAUGCUUUCAGAUUACAUUGUUCUGAACAUCAUUUCUAGGAAACAUAAUAAACAGCAAAAUCCUUUUUUCAUGAGAGGACUCUGAAUGUCUCCUACUAGUCAAACCCUUUCCAUCUGUUGAAGUGUCAGGAAACUGGUUAUCUUUGAGGGAAAAUACAUCUUCACAGACAAAUUAAAUCGUUGUUUAUUUAUAGAUACAUUACCUGCAUUUCUCACACUGCGCCCUUUAUUAACAUGCCUUCAGAUUAUUUUCAAUUGUUUCCUGUUUUGGGACUGAACUUUCUAGACAGUUAUUCAUCUGUCAAAAUCGUAGUCAGUCACUUUACAUUUCUUGUGUAUUUUUUUCUUUCUGUGAUUUCCAG